rnacentral:rRNA from 1 species
CACGUAGGGGGCAAGCGUUGUCCGGAUUUAUUGGGCGUAAAGAGCUCGUAGGCGGUUCGGUAAGUCGGGUGUGAAACCUCCAGGCUCAACCUGGAGACGCCACCCGAUACUGCUGUGACUAGAGUCCGGUAGGGGAGCGUGGAAUUCCUGGUGUAGCGGUGAAAUGCGCAGAUAUCAGGAGGAACACCGGUGGCGAAGGCGGGUCUCUGGGCCGAUACUGACGCUGAGGAGCGAAAGCGUGGGGAGCGAACAGG